UCAAAGAUUAAGCCAUGCAUGUCUCAGUGCAUGCCGAAUUAAGGUGAAACCGCGAAUGGCUCAUUAAAUCAGUUAUGGUUCAUUAAAUUGUACCGAAAUUUACUUAGUUAACUAUGAUAAUUCUAGAGCUAAUACAUGCAACACAGAGUCCCGACCUGUGAUGGAUGGGACGCUUUAUUAGAUAAAAACCAAUCGGUGGCGCGGGGUCCGCCUUGCGUCCACCGUUUAUUUUGGCGACUCUGAAUAACUUUGUGCUGAUCGCACGGUCUCUGCACCGGCGACGCAUCUUUCAAAUGUCUGCCUUAUCAACUGUCGAUGGUAGGUUCUGCGCCUACCAUGGUUGUAACGGGUAACGGGGAAUCAGGGUUCGAUACCAGAGAGGGAGCCUGAGAAACGGCUACCACAUCCAAGGAAGGCAGCAGGCGCGCAAAUUACCCACUCCCGGCACGGGGAGGUAGUGACGGAAAAUAACGAUACGGGAAUCAUCCGAGGACCCGUAAUCGGAAUGAGUACACUUCAAAUCCUUUAACGAUGAUCCAUUGGAGGGCAAGUCUGGUGCCAGCAGCCGCGGUAAUACCAGCUCCAAUAGCGUAUAUUAAAGUUGUUGCGUUUAAAUGCACGUAGUUGAAUCUGUGUCGCACACCGUCGGUUCACCGCUGGCGGUGUUUAACUGGCGUGAUGUGGGACGUCCUACCGGUGGACUUAUCCUCGCGAGGGGCGGCCCAACUAAUAUCCCGUCGCGGUGCUCUUUACUGAGUGUCGAUUCGGGCCGGUACGUUUACUUUGAACACAUUAGAGUGCUUAAAGCAGG
rnacentral:ncRNA from 1 species